rnacentral:lncRNA from 1 species
AGGGAAAGAAAUACCUGAAAAGAUGAGAUGCGGCAAUCUAUGGCUCUCAUACUUGACUGAUGUGGUGACUAUUCCCACUAUACAAAGUGGAAACCAUAAUUCAUAGAGCAAAAUACACUGAAUAAAAUUAUGGUAGCUUAGACAUUGUACAAGAAAAUAUUAGGAAACCUGAAUACAUAGCAGGAGUUUCUGCCAUUGCUAUGAAAUUAUUUAUUUUUCCUUGCUGCAAAUUUUGCAUUUUACAUUUUGAGGCCAUGUUAUGAGGUGGAUACACAGGUAAAUAAAAUACAGAAAUACAAUAAGACUAAAAAAAUAAAAAGAGAGAAUUAGUGAGCUGUGGUAUGAGUGAACCCUAACUCCCCUGGUCUCCUCUGACUCUUGAUCUAUCCCCUCAAUUCAGAGAUCACUGGACUCCUCCUGGGUUUCCCUCCUUGCACCACAGCCUGGAAACUCUCUUUAGGCAAUGAACCAAGGGCAGCUGUAGAGUUCACUUAUCUCCUUUAUUUCCCAUCUCUCAGAAAUCACUGUUCUUUUUUGCUUAAUGUCUAAAGUUUUAAGAAACAUUGUUUCACAAACAGGAAAGUAAAAUUUUCUUAAAAUUCUUAGUUAUUUUCG